UACGUAGGGUGCGAGCGUUAAUCGGAAUUACUGGGCGUAAAGCGUGCGUAGGCGGUUCGUUAAGUUCGUUGUGAAAGCCCCGGGCUCAACCUGGGAAUGGCAAUGGAAACUGGCGGGCUGGAGUAUGGCAGAGGGGGGUGGAAUUCCGCGUGUAGCAGUGAAAUGCGUAGAUAUGCGGAGGAACACCGAUGGCGAAGGCAAUCCCCUGGGCCUGUACUGACGCUCAUGCACGAAAGCGUGGGGAGCAAACAGG
rnacentral:rRNA from 1 species